rnacentral:rRNA from 2 species
GAGUUUGAUCUUGGCUCAGAUUGAACGCUGGCGGCAGGCCUAACACAUGCAAGUCGAGCGGAUGACGGGAGCUUGCUCCUUGAUUCAGCGGCGGACGGGUGAGUAAUGCCUGGGAAUCUGCCUGGUAGUGGGGGACAACGUUUCGAAAGGAACGCUAAUACCGCAUACGUCCUACGGGAGAAAGCAGGGGACCUUCGGGCCUUGCGCUAUCAGAUGAGCCUAGGUCGGAUUAGCUAGUUGGUGGGGUAAUGGCUCACCAAGGCGACGAUCCGUAACUGGUCUGAGAGGAUGAUCAGUCACACUGGAACUGAGACACGGUCCAGACUCCUACGGGAGGCAGCAGUGGGGAAUAUUGGACAAUGGGCGAAAGCCUGAUCCAGCCAUGCCGCGUGUGUGAAGAAGGUCUUCGGAUUGUAAAGCACUUUAAGUUGGGAGGAAGGGCAGUAAGUUAAUACCUUGCUGUUUUGACGUUACCGACAGAAUAAGCACCGGCUAACUCUGUGCCAGCCGCCGACCG